rnacentral:lncRNA from 1 species
GAAAAACAAGGGCCAUCAGAUCUCCCUCAUUAAUUGAAGUGGCAGAUCUGAUGGCCAUACGCGCGCUAUCCACCAUAAUCUUUAGUCAACGCGUCACAUGGUUAGUAAUCAAAAUAUAUGGCUAAGAUUAAAACAUUUCAAACAUAUCAAACGACCAGGAGACAUGACACCACAUCACUGGAGCCCUAGCUGAGGUUGUCUUCUCUGGUGGACCUCAUCGGACUAGUCCACCACCAACCACCAUGGAAAUGAA